GAAUAGAUUAUCUAGGCUAUAUAAAGAGUAAAGAACGCAAGAAAUACGUUAAAGUCAAAAUAUAAAGGUAUGAGCUAAAUUUAUGUUGAAUCAAUAGAUGGGCCAUUAGCCCAUCCAUAGGAUAUUGAGAAAAUCUCAUUUUAUAUUUAUUAGUUCAAAUUAUUUACUCUUUAAUGGUCGAAUUUAAACUAUUUACUACUUCUACUUAUGCGUCCCAAAUUAUUUACGAGCCUUUUUAUGUUCUUCUUCUUUGUCUUCUUCAUUUUACCUUUCUCCAAUUCUUUGCUCAACUCCCCAUCCAUCAAUACUCUCCGACGAUAACCUUUAUAGCCCACCGUUAACUAUUAUGCCAAGACUUGUCCUAAAGUUGAAAUUUUCGUUGGCUCAGUAACCUCCCAAAUGUUAAGAUGCCCCUGCCUCUGGGCCUACCACCAUUCACCUCUUUUUUCAUGAUUUCUUUGUUGAAGUGGUGCUAUUAUUUUAAAGAUUACGAUGUGAUGCUAUACAAUAUUGCUUAUAAUAUUUUCGAGUAAGCUUUCUAGAUCAAAAUUUUAUGUGUGGUUGAAUAUCCGCCAUUGUUAGGCUUGAAGCUUAAUUUUAUUUUUGAAGAUUUCUUGUUUGAUUCAAAGUGGAUGCUUUUAAAUAUUGUUUAUAGUACCUUCUGGAAGUACAUAUUAAAAUUUGAUAGCAUUUGUAGCUAAUUUGAGGUGAUUGAGAUUGAAAGUUUCAGUUAAAAAUCGAAGAAGAACACAACUACAGUAAUAAUCGAUGAAGAACAGAACUACCUAACAAUAUACCGCUAUAGUAUACUGAUAUAUUAUAGGAGUAUAUAGUUAUACUGGGACAAUAUACUAUUAUAGUAUACAAUAUAUUAUUAUGGUAUACUAUAAUAAUAUACAAGAUAUUGUAACAAUAUACUGAAAAGUAUAUAAUAUAUACUUCCCGUAAAUUUACUUGUCUUUUCCAUUUUAAUCUGUUUUAAGCUUUUACUCAACGUGAGGGGCGAACUGAAAAUGCAAAAAAAUAAAUAAGUUAUAGUAUGCUAUAUAAUGUAAUGGUAUACUCUUAUCAUUAGAUCCUUUUAGAUUUUUUUAAAAUUUUUUAUCAACAACUAAUAUUAUUUCAGUUUAAUGAUUGAAUUGAAUUUUUUAACUCUUUGUGUUUGAUUAUAUACCCUAUUUGUAUAGCUAUAUACUAUGCUAGUAUCAUAUGUUAGUUAAUAUUUUUUUUGUAUUAGCUACAUUUAAUUGUCCACAACUUGAUUUUUCUUCAGUAAUAAUAUAUAUAAAAAAAAUAAUAAAUAGUGAAAACAAUAAAUGAUAUUAGAUUAUAAAGAGAAAAAGAAUAUAAAAAAAAAGUUAAAUGAAAUUAGAAAAGGAAAAAAAUACAUAAAUAAGAAGAAAUCUAGAAAAAAGAAAAGGAGAAAAGAAAAAAGAAAAGAAUAGAAGCAUAGAAAUAAAAAAAAGAAUUCGAGAAUAAAGAAAAAUUUCCACAAAAUUUACUAUGAGUAGGAAAUAUAAUUAGUUUAUGAAUAAAAAAUAAAUGAAUAGAUAAGGGUAAAUUAUUUUAUUUUUGUGGAUAACUGUGUAAAAAACCCUAGGAUAUUGGCGCUGAAAUAAAUUUGGUUAAGAUGAACUAAACAUCCAUAAUGAACCAGCUAACUCUAAUUAAGUUUAUUUUGUUUGUUUGUCUUAAAUAAGUUUUUAAUUGUCAAAAAAAUUAAUUACAGCUAUAUCUAACAUAUCAUCUCAUAAUAUCUAGAAAUAUUUAGGGGAAACAUACACAAAUAUCUUAAAUAAUUCAUAAAUUACCAACCUCUAGCCAUUAGUUAUAGAUUUAUCAAAACUAGCUAACAAAAAUUGAAAAACUAAAUUAUAGGGUUCUUUCUAUCAAAAUAUCACAUGCAAAAAUCACCUUCCAUAUUUUAAAGCGUGAUUAGCACCAUUAGAUGCAAGAUGGAAAGGAAAUUUCAUAGAUGUGGUAAUAAAUAAAGUGAUGAAAUACAAAAAUCUAAACAAAAAGAGAAUUAUUUCAAUGGAUAUUGAUGAAAUUCAUUGAAAAUAUAUAGAUAAGUCAAUAUACAAAAUUUGAGGAAGAUUGGAGGUAAUUUGGACUGGUUUUGUAUCAAAAUUCAUAAUUAAAUNNNNNNNNNNNNNNNNUAUACAAAAUUUGAGGAAGAUUGGAGGUGAUUUUGACUGGUUUUGUAUCAAAAUUCGUAAUUAAAUCGAGUUCGAAAAAGUCCUCUGCGACACAUGUAUGAAACAUGUAUCAGACAUGUAUCUAACACACAAGUAUACAUGGAUAUACAUGUGAUACAUAAUUGAUACAUGUGUGAUACACAAAUGAUACACAGUGUGAUACGCAUAUAAUUUUUUUCAUGUUAUGUUUUUUACUUCGAAUUUUCAAUUCAAACAACCUUAAAACUAUACGAAAUCAUCUCAAAGCUGAUAUUCAAGCUCCUUUAGUUGUGCCUAAUCUAUUCUAAUAACACCAACUCAAAACAAAGCAAAAACUUAAUAUUUUUUUUGCUACAAAUAGUUAAUUAGCUAAUUUGGCUAAUAUUAGUAUUUUAUCAAUUGACCAGUUUUUGUAAUAAGC
rnacentral:lncRNA from 1 species